rnacentral:rRNA from 1 species
UACGGAGGGUGCAAGCGUUAAUCGGAAUUACUGGGCGUAAAGCGCGCGUAGGCGGCUUGUUAAGUCGGAUGUGAAAUCCCCGGGCUCAACCUGGGAACUGCAUUCGAUACUGGCUGGCUAGAGUGUGGUAGAGGGAAGUGGAAUUCCAGGUGUAGCGGUGAAAUGCGUAGAGAUCUGGAGGAAUACCGAUGGCGAAGGCAGCCCCCUGGCCUGAUACUGACACUGAGGUGCGAAAGCAUGGGGAGCAAACAGGAUUAGAAA